GCCGCGAGGCGACGGGCGUUCUCGCCGGAUGUAGGAACCGACCCGGGGACCGCCGGGGCAACCCGGCGCCCCCGAGACGGGGCGAACCACGGUGAAAUGACGGAUCGUCGGCCCCGCGCCGGCGACUCGCCGAAUGAGUUUCUGACCUAUCAACUCGAGACGGCGGGGUAGAGGCCCGCCGCGGUAACGACGGGUAACGGGGAAUCAGGGUUCGAUUCCGGAGAGGGAGCCCGAGAAACGGCUACCACUUCCAAGGAAGGCAGCAGGCGCGCAACUUACCCUAAUCUCGAUUCGAGGAGGUAGUGACAAGAAAUACCGAUGCGGGACCCUACGGGUGCCGCGUUCGGAAUGAGUACGAUUCGAACCACCUAACGAGGAACGAUCGGAGGGCAAGUCUGGUGCCAGCAGCCGCGGUAAUUCCAGCUCCA
rnacentral:rRNA from 1 species